UACGGCGACUGCGAUGGCUCAUUAUAUAAGUUAUCGUUUAUUUGAUAGCACUUUACUACUUGGAUAACCGUGGUAAUUCUAGAGCUAAUACAUGCUAAAAAUCCCGACUUCGGAAGGGAUGUAUUUAUUAGAUUAAAAGCCAAUGCCCUCUGGGCUCUCUGGUGAAUCAUGAUAACUGCUCGAAUCGCAGGGCCUCGUGCCGGCGAUGGUUCAUUCAAAUUUCUUCCCUAUCAACUUUCGAUGUUUGGGUAUUGGCCAAACAUGGUUACAACGGGUAACGGAGGGUUAGGGCUCGACCCCGGAGAAGGAGCCUGAGAAACGGCUACUACAUCCAAGGAAGGCAGCAGGCGCGCAAAUUACCCAAUCCCGACACGGGGAGGUAGUGACAAUAAAUACUGAUACAGGGCUCUUUCGGGUCUUGUAAUUGGAAUGAGUACAAUUUAAAUCCCUUAACAAGGAACAAUUGGAGGGCAAGUCUGGUGCCAGCAGCCGCGGUAAUUCCAGCUCCAAUAGCGUAUAUUAAAGUUGUUGUGGUUAAAAAGCUCGUAGUUGACCCUUGGGCCUGGCUGGCCGGUCCGCCUCACCGCGUGUACUGGUCCGGCCGGGCCUUUCCCUCUGUGGAACCCCAUGCCCUUCACUGGGCGUGGCGGGGAAACAGGACUUUUACUUUGAAAAAAUUAGAGUGCUCCAGGCAGGCCUAUGCUCGAAUACAUUAGCAUGGAAUAAUAGAAUAGGACGUGCGGUUCUAUUUUGUUGGUUUCUAGGACCGCCGUAAUGAUUAAUAGGGACAGUCGGGGGCAUCAGUAUUCAAUUGUCAGAGGUGAAAUUCUUGGAUCUAUUGAAGACUAACUACUGCGAAAGCAUUUGCCAAGGAUGUUUUCAUUAAUCAAGAACGAAAGUUAGGGGAUCGAAGACGAUCAGAUACCGUCGUAGUCCUGACCGUAAACUAUGCCGACUAGGGAUCGGACGAUGUUAUUUUUUGACUCGUUCGGCACCUUACGAGAAAUCAAAGUGCUUGGGCUCCAGGGGAGUAUGGUCGCAAGGCUGAAACUUAAAGAAAUUGACGGAAGGCACCACCAGGUUGA
rnacentral:rRNA from 1 species